GUGCCAGCAGCCGCGGUAAUACGGAGGGUGCAAGCGUUGUUCGGAAUUACUGGGCGUAAAGCGCGCGUAGGCGGUGUGUCAAGUCAGAUGUGAAAGCCCUCGGCUCAACCGGGGACGUGCAUUUGAAACUGGCAGACUUGAGUAUUGGAGGGGGUGGUGGAAUUCCCGGUGUAGAGGUGAAAUUCGUAGAUAUCGGGAGGAAUACCGGUGGCGAAGGCGACCACCUGGCCAAAUACUGACGCUGAGGUGCGAAAGCGUGGGGAGCAAACAGGAUUAGAUACCCUAGUAGUCC
rnacentral:rRNA from 1 species